UGGGGAAUUUUGGACAAUGGGCGAAAGCCUGAUCCAGCAAUGCCGCGUGUGUGAAGAAGGCCUUCGGGUUGUAAAGCACUUUUGUCCGGAAAGAAAUCCUUGGCUCUAAUACAGUCGGGGGAUGACGGUACCGGAAGAAUAAGCACCGGCUAACUACGUGCCAGCAGCUGCGGUAAUACGUAGGGUGCAAGCGUUAAUCGGAAUUACUGGGCGUAAAGCGUGCGCAGGCGGUUUGCUAAGACCGAUGUGAAAUCCCCGGGCUCAACCUGGGAACUGCAUUGGUGACUGGCAGGCUAGAGUAUGGCAGAGGGGGGUAGAAUUCCACGUGUAGCAGUGAAAUGCGUAGAGAUGUGGAGGAAUACCGAUGGCGAAGGCAGCCCCCUGGGCCAAUACUGACGCUCAUGCACGAAAGCGUGGGGAGCAAACAGGAUUAGAUACCCUGGUAGUCCACGCCCUAAACGAUGUCAACUAGUUGUUGGGGAUUCAUUUCCUUAGUAACGUAGCUAACGCGUGAAGUUGACCGCCUGGGGAGUACGGUCGCAAGAUUAAAACUCAAAGGAAUUGACGGGGUCAUAGCUGUUUCCU
rnacentral:rRNA from 1 species